GCCUGGCCUAUAUGGUUGACAUGAAGUUCACCAAUGAGCUAUGUAUUCCCAGCCACUCUUUUAAAUACAUAUUUAAAAAUUUUUAAUUAUGUGUAUGUGUGUAGGUAUGUGUAUAUACAAGUGCAGGUUCCUAGAGAAGCCAGAGGUGUCAGAUUUCCCCUGGAACUAGAAUUACAAGUAGUUGUGAGCCAUCCAGUAUGAGUUCUGGGAACUGAACCCCAGUCUUCUGCAAAAGCUGUACCCUCCUAACUGCUGAGCCAUCUCUCCAGACAUCUAUCCAUUAAAAAAAAUAAAGUUUUAAUAAUUCUUGGCUUGGUGAUGCUCAUUGUUAAUCCCAGCACUUAUAGUCAGGCAAUUUUCUGUGAAUUCAAGGUUAACCUGAUCUAUAUAUCAGGUUCUAGCCUGCCAAAGCUAUAUUGAGAAACCCUAUCUCAAAAACAAAAAAAAGUAAGGAGGGGGGCAACUUGUUUCCUAGGUGGCUUGGCAUAACAUUAGUAUGUUUUAAGUAUUUUUUGUACCCUUCUGGCCAUAGUAAAUAUAAUUAUGAUACAUUAUAAAAUGCUUGCCACAGCAGAUGUGUUUAAGAGAAACACCUACUUAUUCAAUUUGUUUUGUUUUUGUUUUUCAAGACAGGGUUUCCUUGUAGCCCUGGCUGGCCUAGAGCUUGCCCUUUAGACUAGUCUGUCCCUAGAACUCAGAUUCACCUACCUCUGCUGCCCAAGUGCUGGAAUUAAAGGCGUGAGCCAACACUGUCCAGUGACUUGAUUUUAUUUGUGGAUGCACCUUAACCCUAACUUGAGGUCACCAGGUGAUUAUUUACAUAGUUUAAGGUAAGAAUUCUAGUGUUUUUAUUUUGUUGCUAUUCAUUUAUUCUUUGCACUGCUUUUGUGUUGAACACUUUUUGCCUUUUAGUAUUUUAAAGAUGGUCUGAAAAUAGUAGCAGGAAUAAUGCUGCUUUAUUAAAUUCUUCUGUGAGGAAACUGUUCCUCAUAAUGUCAGUCAUCUAUUCUACUCAGGUGACUGUUGCAAGCACUUGUAAGGUGAAAUUUGGUAAUGAAUGAAUUAGUGGCCUGUUGUUAGAGGAAAGAGGAAAUUAAGUUUAUCAAUUCUGUUUGAGCCAAGCAUUAUUUCUCUUGAAAGACACUUCUCUUUAAAGUAGUGAUAGUCCUAGAACGAGCAUUUCCUAGUUCUUGGCAGAAUUAAAUUGUCUCCAAAUAAGUGUUAUGUUUUUGUUUUGUUUUGUUUUGUUUUAAAAAACAAAAACAAAAACCUUUCUGCCGGGCAUGGUGGCGAAAGGUUAAUCAUUAGCAGGUGGACCAUUUUAAUGGUAGUUUUUUGUUGGUGAUUUUUGUUUUUGUUUUUAAUUUCAAAGAAUAUUCUUACCUCUUUUCUGAAAUCAAACUAUUCCUGUAAAAACAUCUUUGAAACAUAACCAGGAGGGAUACAUGUGGGUUCUUGGCGUUCAUCAUUAGCAGCUCUUCCUUCAGGAUUCAUGGAAAGGUAUUCUGGAAAACCUCUUAAGCAAAAUUAAUACAUAACCUUUUUGUUCUGUUAUGGCAAAAGUUUUCAACAAUGGGCAUUGAUUUUGUACAUCUUAUUUUUAGUCAAGGUCUCACCAAGUUGCCCAGGCUGUUCUUGAACUCACUUGUGGCAGAGGCUGUUCUCAAACCUUCACUCCACAAGCAGCUGGGAUUACAGGUGUGUGGCAAUCUGGGCUGGUAAUAAUUUUGAUACAUUAAUAUUUGCCUAUUGGUUUAAGUCAUGCCCACAUAUAAUAAUUAAACGGCUGAGCAUAUUAAGGCUCUUUCUAAGGGAUUUUGGGAGAUAGGAAGACAGAUAAAACAUUGGCUAUUCCUUUGGAGGCUAUAUUCAAUAGAAGGAAGACUUGUAUUGUUUAUCUGUGAGUUAAGAACACACCCUAGGUGGAGACACAGGCUCAGAGAAAUUAAGCCAUGCCACAAAGUUAGCAAUAGUUAAGUUAGUAGACUAGCUAGAAUCAAGGAGUUUAAGGCUCAGAUCUCUUUCACAUAAACAUAUAUACUGCCUCUAUGGUUAGAAUUUGAAGCAGCUUUUACUAAAAAUACUCCAGUCACCCAACCAAGCAAACAAACAAAAUAUACAAUAGUCAGUGUUAGCUAUAGAUAAAUAAAUAAAAAGCUCAACCUGCUGGUUUAGGGCUGGCAAAAUGGAUCAGUAAAAGUGCUUGCCACAAAGCUUGAUGAUUUGAGUUCCAUACCUGGGACUCACAUAGUAGAAAGAAGGAAGUGACUUAAGUGCCUGGCACACACAAACCCCUACACCCACAUUGGGCACCAAUAUGUUGUGGAAAUUAACUAAUCCCGACUUGGGGUUUCAUUUAGUUCCCAGAUAAAAAUAACACACAACCUUUAUAUUUACAAUAAGCCUUAAGCAGCACAACAAAUGAGCAGAUACCUACCCUCUAUAUUAUUAGAACCUACUUUCCUAUUGAUAAUUCUAAAUUAUUACUUACUACUUACUAUUAAUUCAUCUGGACUGCUCUUAAUUCCAAUUGGUCAGCCCUCAAGGCUAUGUUCUCUUGACGCCUAACCCAUGGCAACUUCUUUCUCCUGUACCUUCCUUUCCUUGCCUUUUUUCUUUUCCUCUUUCUUUCUUUCUUUCUCUCUCUCUCUCUCUCUCUCUUUCUUUCUUUCUUUCUUUCUUUCUUUCUUUCUUUCUUUCUUUCUUUCUUUCUUCCUUUUUCCUCCUCCAAACCCAAGCCUGAGAAACCUAAACUGUACCUAUGUCUCUUUUGCCCAGCUAUUGGCAUCUUUAUUUACCAAUUAGAAAUAACUUGGGGCCAUGGUCUACAUGUAGACUCUCAUCUCUGGGACAACCAAAUCCUGGGAGCCUACACUUAGCAUUACAAUAGAUAAUAAAAGACCAAACUCAACAAAUAAGUAAAAAUUUAUAUAUAUAUAUAUAUACACACACACACACGUAUGACAUGUGUAUACACACACAUGUUGUGUGUGUAUUAUAUACAUACAUAUUGAGGGAGUUGUAUUUUGUUUUUGUUUUCCUAAAACUCUUUGAAGACUAGGCUGGCCUCAGAUUUACAGAGUUUCACCUUUCUCUGCCUCCUGAAUGUUGAGAUUAAAAGAAUGCCCACCACACCUGACAAGUAAUACAUUGUUUAAGAAAAACCUGGACUGGUGAGAUGGCUUAACACAGCAGUCCUCAAUCUUCCUAAUGCUGUAACUCUUUAAAACAGUUCUUCAAGUUGUGAUGACCUCAGACUAUAAAAUUAUUUUCAUUGCAACUUCAUAACUAUAAUUCUGCUACUGUUAUGAAUUGUGAUGUAAAUACCUGUUUUUGGAUGGUUUUAGAUGACCCUUGUGAAAGAGUCAUUGUAACUCCAGAGUGUUCUCCACCUACAGGUUGAGAACCACUGGCUUAGCAGGUAAAGGUACUUAAUAACAAACCCAUUGUCAUAGUUGGGUCCCCAGAACCCAUGUGGUAGAAACAACCAACUCCUGCAAGUUGUCCAACCUCCACACUUACAUGUUUGUGAUUUGGAUGGAAAGCAGAACUGUCCUGGAGAAACUUAGCAAACAGCCUAAGUUAGGCUUUCAUCACCACUGCAAAUCUUACUGGUACUAAUCCUUCAAAGGUUAAGAUAACCCUUCAUCUCUGUGAUAUUCUUGCUCUAAACCUAUCAUUUCAGUCCAACCAG
rnacentral:lncRNA from 1 species